UACGUAGGGUGCAAGCGUUGUCCGGAAUUAUUGGGCGUAAAGAGCUCGUAGGCGGUCUGUCGCGCUGCUGUGAAAACUCAGGGCUUAACCCUGAGCUUGCAGUGGGUACGGGCAGACUAGAGUGCGGGUAGGGGAGACUGGAAUUCCUGGCGUAGCGGUGAAAUGCGCAGAUAUCAGGAAGAACACCCGUGGCUAAGGCGGCUCUCUAGUACGGUA
rnacentral:rRNA from 1 species